rnacentral:lncRNA from 1 species
GUCUCAGCACUGAGUUAAGAGGUUAGUCUAGAAAAAGUAAUACAAUUUAUAAAAAUAAGUGAUAUUAUAAUAUCAUGAACUCAAAUAUUACAAAUACGACUAAGACGUAUCGGUUUGCACAACUACUGUUGCAUGCGUUUUCUUUGGAUACAAAAAUUGUGUAUAUUCUGAAUUUUGGGAAGUACUUACUAUAAGCAGCACGUAUUAUCAUCUCGACACCAACAUAACAUAAGCAAUUACCAAUAAGCAAAAGACUUCUAUAUUUUUAAUUUCAUGUUAUACACUGCGUUCAUGUUUGCUCUUCAGAAUGUCUUCAUGUGUUAGGAGCAGAGCACCGGAUGGUUGUUGUGUCAUUUACACUGGCAGUGUAUCGAAUUUGCUGGAGAUGGAGUGGAUGUGGCUGCUCAUGGCUCUUUGGAAAACAUGUCAUGUUCACAAUGAACAAAGGCAUCGGAAGCCUGCUCCAACAUGAGAAGAGUCUGCAGACUCACAACGCUUCUUAUGCAGCUACGCCAAGUUUCCCCUAUAGAUCUUGUGAAGGAGAAGAUGGGCCUUAUUGAUUUUCUGGCAUCGUAGACAGUUGCUCCAGUAGCCACCUCAGUGCAGACAACAAGCAUUGAGAGUCCAUGACAAGUUGGCUGGUCAUGAGCUAGUCGCUGACCACCUAGAUGAGGUUGCCAAUCACUUGGACGAGAGAAGCGAGCCGUGCCUCGUUUAUCGUAAGAAGCGCCUGUCCUUGAAAAGGAAGGAGACGGAAGAGGGCAAAAAAGGGGUGGAAUUGACUAGUGGACAGAACUUCAGGUGUUGAUACAACUAAUUAACCAACCAGCCAAUGAAGUUUUUGGGUUCACUAAAGUGUGGCUUAGCUUCCGGUUGCCUCUCAAUCCUAGCUAGCUAAUUCCGACAUGCAUGGAAAGAUCAAAAGACCAUGCCAUAUCAUGACCAGCGUGCUAGCUAUGUUCAUGUUCACCAGGUUAAAUGUCGGUGUAUGCCAUGUAUGAUGCAUCACUCAAAAGGAAGAAAAAUACUCGUAGAAUUUCUAUCUUUUGUCUACCCAUUGCAACUCCACCGUUUGAGAUUUAUAGAGCCACAAUAUUGCACCGGCUUCAUUAAUGCCCGCCAUUUGCCCGAGCGCCGCGCCUACUGAUCGGACACCUAUGAGAACUAAAUUGACCUAACCUAAAUUACUAACCGAAGCGAAGGCACAGGAUUCCCCUCCCUGCAACCGACCGCCGAAGCAGUGGGCAGAAUGAAGGUGAAUCCAUGGGAUCACACGUGGAGUCUGGAGGAGAGAGUUUGCCCUAGCUGCAUUUGGUCAUGGGAGAAAAACGAAAGGAAGUAUAGUUAAAAAUCAGUCAACGAGGAAACCAAAAUUUAGAUGUUGUAAGAUACAAAGUCAUCAUUUGGAUGAAAUGAUAAUAAGUUGGUCCUUAGCAAUAUGGACCAUUAAUGGUGGCGUGAGUGUGAGUGUUAGUAUGGACAGUACUGCGGUACAAUCUGUUAGGAAAAUAAACCACGUCGUGUUCGGUCAUCACAUGUGUGACUUGGUGACGCGUGAGUCUGUGCUCGCAUUGGCGUUCAUCGUAUAGGUACAGGUUGAGUCGGAGGCCGUUGGUGAUNNNNNNNNNNUUGCAUGCAAGCUGGAGGUUAUGCCCGUUGGACCACGUCUUCCACGCAAUCGGAACGUACGGGUCAAUCUGCAUGUGUAGAUACACGUAGAGAUCGGCUGGNNNNNNNNNNCUGCAUGCAAGCUGGAGGUUAUGCCUGUUGGACCACGUCUUCCGUGCAAUCGAAACGUACGGGUCAAUCUGCAUGUGUAGAUACACGUAGAGAUCGGCUGGAGGAGUUGCGUGGGCGCUGCGUUGUUGUGUGUCUAUAAAAGGCCUUGUAAUCGUUGAUGUAAUCUGAGCCAGCGGAGAUAAAAAGAAAGUAGGGCGGUGGUGCGCCCGUGGCGGCGUUUGUGUGCGGUGGAAAAAAUCUGCUGAUUCCAUUGCCUCCUUCUUCAACCUUUGCCCGUGAGCAGAGAGAGAGAGAGAGUGAGCUAGCUAGGGUAAUCCAAACCUUUGUCCGCCGCGUACAGACGGUCCGGCACGGAGUCCAGUAGUUUCUUCACCAAUGGCAUUCGAGGAGGCGCUGGAUUGUCUGAAGGCCUUCGACGAGCGGCUACGACAACGCGGACAAGCGGGCAGCGAGCGGGCGGACGGCCAGCUCAUGCUCACGGCGGAGCAGUGGCGAGCGCGGGAGCGUCGCCGAGGCGGUGCACGGGACGAUGACGACGACGGCAAGAGCGUGGCGUCGAGCAGCCGUGGGAACCGACGCGGGCGCUGCUACAACUGCAACGAGCGCGGCCACUUCAAGAGGGACUGCCCUCAGCGGAGGAGGGAGCCGGCAGCGGAGCAAGCGCUGCUGGCGAACGUCGACGUCGAGAACGUCGGGCUCCUCUAAGCCACGACUUAGAGGGGUGAAUGAAGAAUAAGCCGCGGCGACGGGUCGGGCUCGUCGGGCGCGUGUAUGGGCGCGCGUCGGACGUGUCGGGCACGUCGGGUCCGCGGGCUGGGUUACGGCCAUGACGACGACAAUGACGGGAGCUGCAACAACUCUGGCGAUGGUGAGGUCGUGGUUUAAGGGGAGAAUGUUAGGAAAAUAAACCAUGUGUGACUUGGUGACGCCUGAGUCUGUGCUCGCGUUGGCGUUCAUCGUAUAGGUACAGGUUGAGUCGGAGGCCGUUGGUGAUCCGUUGGACGCCGGCCGUGUUGUGCGCGUAGGAGCGCGUCGUGUGCGCAGCCUGGGCGAGGGGAACAUAGGAGCGUGUUGAACCGACUUAG